ACCAACAAUCGGACACAUCUAGGUCCACCAGCGCCGGCAAAGUUUUCAACGGCAGUGCAGAAUUUGUAAACUUGUGAACUACUCUCAAGAAUUUGCUCGCCAUGGCUCUGGAUCAGGAGUACAUUGACGCCCUCAUCGUUGUCGCGAUUGUACUGGGGAGCAUUAUAGUGUUUGGAUCCCUGUUAACCUUACUGUGUCAAAGGUACUACAGGCCCGGCCGCUGCUUGUUUAUGAGCAAGAGAAAAGACGACCAUGGCAAACCAAUGGCAGCAACGGGUGGGGCGAGCAAUAGCGGUUUCCAGCCGACAGAGGGCGGUGUAGGGAACCAAGAUGGCGGCAGUGGAACCGAUGCGGAGCAGACGACGCGAACUCGUACGGAGGAGGCGAAAGGGGAACAGGCUGAAACGAAAGCUGUCUUGGAUGAACAGGUCGUCGUUGAGAUCGACGCCGCCUUGUCGAACAAAAAUUGAAUGAGCUGGACCAUAUUUGAUGACCUGUCGGGAGAGGGCGGUAAAUCUGAUGGCAACUUUUAGGGGGCGGGGUUUCAAGCAGAUACCGCGAUGAUGGAGGAUAUGAAUUUGGGUGCGAAAUGACUUAAAUGGACACAAGACCAAACACUGCAACUUGGAAGUGUCGAAAUAUCAAAACACCAACACCGUGGAUUUAAGGCUUUUGUACUGUACGUUCUACGUUUUUCAUAACUAUUUAAAUACACUUGAAAUGCUGGAAAGUUAAAAGAAAACCCAAAUCAGCAUUUUGUUUGGUUUCUCACCUCACAAAUGUGGGAGACGAUCCAAUGGCCCAUCCUCCUGGUCCAAAAGUGGGGGAUUUCCCCCCCCCCCCUUCCACUACGGAUUUACGCCCUUGGAAACGACCGACGAGCAUCUGACAUUCCUUGGAGUUUCAAACUUAUAUUUCUUAAAUAGUAGCAAUUCUGUGAAUAAAACCUAAUUGUGAUGGACUACAAAAACCACGCGACAUCGGACGAGACCUGAUGUCUGACUAAUAUCACAGAUUUCCUUUGUUAUAUUGUUACAGUUAAAAGAUGUAUUUUUUUUUUGUAAAUUAAUUAACUUCCGGGUAUCGCCCCUGGCCUUGUCUUAUGUCGCUAUGGUGAUUAAUUACGGGGCGUGUCUAUACCAUUCCUUGUGAAGCUAAGUAUUUUUUCGUUAAAUGAAUAUGCAUGAUUAAAUUUCACCUAUGCUACGAAUUGUUGUAUAGCCUCUGUGAAGUUA